AUUGAACGCUGGCGGCAUGCCUAACACAUGCAAGUCGAACGGCAGCACAGUAAAGACUUAGGUUUUUAUGGGUGGCGAGUGGCGGACGGGUGAGUAACGCGUAGGAAUCUGUCCUGGAGAGUGGGAUAACCCGAGGAGACUCAGGCUAAUACCGCAUGAUAUCGAGAGAUCAAAAGCAGGGGACCCUUCGGGGCCUUGCGCUCAAGGAUGAGCCUACGUCGGAUUAGCUAGUUGGUGGUGUAAAGGCCUACUAAGGCGACGAUCCGUAGCUGGUCUGAGAGGAUGACCAGCCACACUGGGACUGAGACACGGCCCAGACUCCUACGGGAGGCAGCAGUGGGGAAUCUUGGACAAUGGGGGAAACCCUGAUCCAGCGAUGCCGCGUGUGUGAAGAAGGCCUUCGGGUUGUAAAGCACUUUAGUUGGGGAAGAAAAGUAAUAAGUGAAUAACUUAUUGCUCUGACGGUACCCAAAGAAUAAGCACCGGCUAACUCUGUGCCAGCAGCCGCCGCCG
rnacentral:rRNA from 1 species